UACGAAGGGGGCUAGCGUUGCUCGGAAUUACUGGGCGUAAAGCGCACGUAGGCGGCUUCUUAAGUCGGUGGUGAAAUCCUGGAGCUCAACUCCAGAACUGCCUUCGAUACUGGGAGCUCGAGUCCGGGAGAGGUGAGUGGGAACUGCGAGUGUAGAGGUGAAAUUCGUAGAUAUUCGCAAGAACACCAAGUGGCGAAGGCGGCUCACUGGCCCGGUAC
rnacentral:rRNA from 1 species